rnacentral:lncRNA from 10 species
AUCGCUUUUGCAAAGUAUAACAGAGUUUCUGUUCCACACCCAGUCCAUCAUGUUCUUGCAACUUCUACCACCGUGGAUGUCAGUUGAUAUUAAUGCAGUCUUACUCUGUUGCUUAGUCUUCUUUGGACACUAAUACAGUGUGUAGGCUGAGGAGGAGUAAGAAGAGAAGAAAUUGGUGUUGCUGUCUCAGAUGUGGCAGACGCAGAAGAAAACUCAUGUAUAAGUGGACUCGUGCAAUUCAGAUGCAUGUUGUUCAAAGGUCAACUGUAUUUGCAAUUGUGAGAAAAGCAUAAACUCUGCUGUCAAUUCUUGUAUUUUGGAGGAAAACAUGGUUUUGUUUUGCAAAAAAGUUAUGAGUUUUAUAAUUUUCUUCCUUCCUCCCUCCCUCCCUUCCUUUCUUUCCUUUUUUUAAAA